UGCUGACUUAAGAGCUCCGUCAGGUGUUCAGAGAGCAGUGCGACCUACAAGAGUGCACGUACCUUCUGAAACAGGCAGCACCCACAGAGGCGGUGGAAAGCAACGUUGAGGAGGACAUAAAGUAAUUUCAUGAGAGUCUAGUGCUGUAUAACAUAAGCUCAGGAAAUUGUUUCAACGCAUACUAAACUCUCAAAUGAAAAUAUUCCCAUGUAAAAUUUUCUAAUCCCUUGCAACUGUCUAUGGAGGAAGAAAAGCAAGGGCAGAUUCAAAAUCUCUGCUGGACUGAAGCACUCAAUUCCUGACUGUUAGGCAGUUGGCUAACUCAUCUAAUUCAAGUAUGCAAAAGGGAUGGACCGAGCCCAGGAUCUGCCCCCUGACUCUGAGUGAUUACCGCAUCGGACAGCACCCUGACUAGCAUGAGACACUGAGGUGUUGCCAUAACACAGACCAUCACCAGUUUCCUGCUUUAAAUCCUCCUAUUGAAUGAGACUGAUGCGUGGCAGGACUUAAAUAUUUGAUUCCUGUAGUUUAACAGACUGCUAAACCUCAGCUGAGCCAGAGGACUAAUGCACCAUUCCAGACAAGGCAGGCACAGGCUAAGUUAUGUUACUUUUAAUUUGCCCUGGUCAGAGGUCUCAGACUCCCAGUGACUGAAUUAAGACCUCAGUGACAGAGACUAAUGACAGAGUGCACUGUGAGGGACUUGGCAGAACAGGGUGCAAGCCUUGCCUCACAGAGCAUCUCUGUCCACAGCCCCCUUUUUAGGGGCUGCUGCUGGAUCUCGGGCUGGUCACUGCUCCUGCGGGGCAGCUGUACACAGCGCAGCUCCCUGGGGGAAGCCAGCGGUGACCUUGUCUCCCAUGGCAUCCUUGGUUGGAGCCUGUGUAAGAGCAGCCUGGCCACCUUGCAGUGUGACGGGAAGCAGAGCUGCUGGCUCAGGGUACGUGGUGCCAGCUCAGGGAAAAGCUCAUGGACAUGUAAAAACAGUCUCAGUACAGACACGGGGUAAAGGAGGCAACCAGAGAACCAUGUUAAAUCUCAUCCUGUUACAACUCUUCCUCUUCCAAAUUCUUUGAGCACCUCUUCAAGCAAAUGCUUUCUCUCCCAAGUUAAGACUCAGAUUUGUACAAUUCACGUUUUGAGCAGCUUCACACCCAUUUGUUUCCUUGAUUUCAUUGCCAAAUGGGAUUGAUGUGUCAGUUUGUGUUAUUGUCUGUUCAGUGUUCUACAAUAAGAUGGCAAUCUCCUUUCCCUAAAAAGACCUUCCUCCCCUCCCCUCCCUCCUCUCUCUCUCUCUCUUUUUUUUUUUUUUUUUUUUUUCCUUCUGGCAGUGAACAAGUCAUGUUUUUUCACUGUUUGGCUGUGAAAAUGACUAUUCUCUGUUUCAUGUUGACUGAUUAGGUGAAGUGCAGAUAUAGACAAUUUUUAAUUUAAAAGAAAAUAUCCUCUUGGUUCAGCUGGUCGGGUGGAGAGAAGGUUUUGUUCCCAUGGCAACAUUUUGCAUUUGAGCCUGCAGAAAUGAAGCUGCCUAGAGGCAUUUCAAACAUGCUGCAUCCAAAGAGCUGCUUGCACUCUACAACGUGUUUUCAUUUUUGUGUAUGACAAUUGCUUAGCAAGCACCAGCGAAACAAAAGGAAAAAUCUUUGCCUCCAAAUACAUUAAACUCGAGCUUGCUGAUAUGAGGUACGCAGCAUCGUACUGAUACGAGCAUUGCUCCAACUGCUCCUGUAAUACGCACACAGCGAAGCAACCCUGAAGCUUUACUAACAGCUGUCUGCACAGACGCCACAACUUCAGGUAAAAAUCCGUCCAAAGCUCAGGUGUCACUUCCGUAAGAGUUCUUCUGCCACCUCCAUCUGAGACAAUGCUGAGCACGGCGUUGUGAAAACUGGUUUGGAGGGAACUGGCUAUCAGGCUGGGAAACACAAACCCCAUGCAGGAGGUUGUGUCUCAGAGACAUGGGGCUGGAGCAGGGGAAGGGCUGUAAAAUGCUUGCAGAACGGUGAGAUGGGGUGGGAGCAAAAAGCCUUUCCUAGCACAGGGAUCUGCCGAAGGAAUACACCCGUGGAAAGAGUGGAGGACAAAUCCAGUUUAGGUUCAGGUCUUUGCACUUCAUACCAUAAAAUUUGACCAUACAAUAGCAGCGGAUAAAGAAGAAGGACUUAGACUUCAGUGGUGACAGAGGAACAAGACAAGGAACAGAUUUCACUUCAGGACGUUUGGUUUACUUGUAAAAUACUGGGAAAGAAGGACAAGACACAAGAAAUUCAAAGAAAUCUUUAAGGGCAGUGGUGUACACUAGCCCUUCCUCUUUGGCUACUGUCUGCCUGUGUUUCACCAACCAAACCCUCCCACUCUGUACAAAUCUUGUUGAGGCAGAACUGGAAAAUUCCAUGUUCUUGUCCAAGAUUGAACAAGAUUGUCUGGGAGGGACACAGACCAGUGACACAGAAGCACGUCAGCACAGAAGCACAGUAAUUUUUUCCAGGAAAAAAAUGAUGGAAAGUCACCCAGGAGCACAGAACUGCAAAUGAAAUGCACACACAGAAUCAAUGUUAUGGUAUCUUAUGAAUUAUAUUGUUAAUAGAAAGUGAUACUUUCAUGGGAAAUUCACUCACCUUUUGUGUCUGUCUUUGGGCACCAAUAAGCAAAGUAGUGACAUUAACAAUAGUGGUGUUAUUGAUAAAUACUUUAGAGGGAACAGGUUGACAGAGCACUGAGGUGUCAUAGCACCAUUUGGUUGGUAACAUAAAACUGUAAAAUGCCCCCAGUAUUAGGAGGCAGUAAAUUGUUACCUAAAGCUUCUUGGGGGGAAGGAAAUGAAAGCAGAGUGGUUUCGGAAGUUUUGUGGAAGGAAGACACCUCAAACCAGGAAAAGUGAGUGAGACAGAGGAAAGAAGACGAGAGACCAGCAAAUUAGCAUGGCAUUAUCAAACCAGGCUUGAAAGUAACAGUACAAUAUGAAUUUUGGAGAAGGAAGUACCUCUGUGUAAAGAGAAACUGAUCAGGGGUCUGUUUGUGGAGAUCAUGGACCAAACCCACCAAACCAUGCUCUGCUUCGUGCCCAGACUUCCUCUGAAGAGGCCUCAUACUGUAUGAGCAUGAUAAAUGGGCUAAAACUGUAGGAGAAAACUGGCACACGGGGUGACAUAACGGGGAGUGUGCUGGGGAGGAACGCAGAGAUAGCUUACAGUAACAUGGGCAGGAGAAAGGGUGGGUGCCGAGAGCCAUGCAGAGUCAGAACAACUGAUGAAGAUCACAAAAAAGAAGAUAGUGAUGGGAUGAAAGAGUGGAAACAUAAGCAGUGCUGAAGCCUUGAAAUGAUAUUAUCUCAGACAAGACAAGACAAGUCAGCAAAGGUAAUUAUUUACUGCUGGUUGGCCAGAUGGUCCUGGAGUCGUAUCAAGAAUCCCUGCCCACCACAUUUCUCUACAAGUCUGGAAUCCAAACUUUUCAUCUACCCUAAAAUGCGUGCGUUUUCAAAAUAAAAGGAUGGACUCAAACUUCUAUAGCUCCAGGCAAAAAAAAAAAAAAAGCAGAGGUCUACAGUGCAAGAAGGAGGCAGCAGUAUUCCUGCUGUUAUGAGAAGACAAAUAAAAAACACCCCCUGAGGUGAGAGAUCUAAUACAGCUUUUGAAAGAUAUGGGUGCCAGAUCUAUCUCCAGGGCAAAUGGCUCAGCUUUGCACUUUCAGAGGACAAAAGCUCUGGUCCUGAAGAGGGGAAACAGCUUUCCAACAACCUGUUGUUAGAGAUCGGGAGCAGGCUGCUCUAUGGAAACCCCUGGACAGGAGCCAGCAUUCAAUGGGUUUUGUCUCAUCAGGGAGGUAGAUUGCUAUGAAACCUGUUCUAGGACACCGAACACAUGGACGUUAAGCAUUACAACACUCGUAUCUUAUGGUUCCAGCUGUCUUUUAAGUAGCCUCAGAGAUCUCCUUCAGAAAGAAGUUAUUCAAGAGUGUAUGUCUGUUAAUGAGUGUAACUACAGAGAAAACAACCCAAAUACCCAGAAUGGAUUCCCAAAUAUCUAUAUGCCUAUGGUCCAAAAUGAUUGCUGAUGUUUUUACUCCUCUUGAUUAUCCAGUUUCAUUUAUAGGUAAACAAGUAACUUGAUCAAGCUCACACAAUCAGUCCUCAUGUGAGAAGGACACUUGCACUUCAGUGAGAAAAUGUCUGGAAGAAAGGAAAGCACAGAGCGGGAUGGCAGCACAUACACCGAGAGGGGUUUGUCCCUUGCUGUUUUACACUGGGCAGUGGAUGAGAACAGUCAGUGACUGCAGCAGGUAGCGUUCUUGGUAAUGCCACAGACUUUCGUAAAUAAUCAUCAUAAACUCUGCAUGUAUCUGCCAGCAAAUACUCAGCCACUUAGGCUAGGCAUCUCCCGUCCAACUACAAGUGUAAACGUAACGCUAGUUUGCUCCGCUUCUCUUUCAUCCGGAGCACAGCCUGUAACUCCGACAGCGUGUACAGCUCUGGAGCCGGUCAGUUCUU